rnacentral:tRNA from 1 species
GAGAAAAAGUAAUAAUUUUAAAAUCUUUCCAUUAACUAAAUUAUUUUUUUUUUUAAAAAU